AGAGUUUGAUCCUGGCUCAGGAUGAACGCUGGCGGCGUGGAUAAGGCAUGCAAGUCGAGUGGGUUUAGACCCACGGCAAACGAGGUAGUAACACGUAGGUACGUCCCCUUUAGUCGGGCAUAACUAGCCGAAAGGUUAGAUAACUCCCGAUGGUCUCGUAAGAGUAAAAAUUUAUUGCUAAAGGAACGGCCUGCGACCUAUCAGCUAGUUGGUGAGGUAAUGGCUUACCAAGGCUAUGACGGGUAGGGGAGCUGAGAGGCUGACCCCCACCGAUGGAACUGAGACACGGUCCAUACACCUACGGGUGGCUGCAGUCGAGAAUCUUCCGCAAUGGGCGAAAGCCUGACGGAGCGACGCCGCGUGGUUGAUGAAGUCCUUCGGGACGUAAAAAUCUUUUAUGAUUAAGAAAGUUUAUUGAUCUGAUCAUGAAUAAGGGGCUCCAAACUCUGUGCCAGCAGGAGCGGUAAUACAGAGGCCCCAAGCGUUAUCCGGAAUCACUGGGCGUAAAGGGUGUGUAGGUGGUUUUGUUAGUCUCUUGUUAAAGCUCCCGACCCAAUCGGGAAAAUGCGAGAGAAACGGCAAGACUUAGAGGGUGCGAGAGGUAUACGGAACUCAUGGAGUAGGGGUGAAAUCCGUUGAUAUCAUGGGGAACACCAAAAGCGAAGGCAGUAUACUGGUGCAUUCCUGACACUGAAACACGAAAGCGUAGGUAGCGAAUGGGAUUAGAUACCCCAGUAGUCUACGCCCUAAACGAUGAUCGCUGGGUUUUCGGAGUAUCGACCCUCUGAGAGCCGAAGCUAACGCGUUAAGCGAUCCGCCUGGGUAGUACGAGCGCAAGCUUAAAACUCAAAGGAAUAGACGGGGACUUGCACAAGCGGUGGAUUAUGCGGUUCAAUUCGAUGAUAAGCGAAAAACCUUACCAAGGCUAGAAAUUCAUAUGAAGCUAGCAGAAAUGCAAAGCGUCUCACAAGGACAUAUGGACAGGUGAUGCAUGGCCGUCGUCAGUUCGUGAUUUGAAUUGUUCCCUUUAGUGGGGUAACGAACGCAACCCUCAUUGGCUGUUACAAGUGUCAGCCGAGACUACCCAGCACAGAGCGCACUACGUAUACAAUUUUUAAUUGAAAAUUAAAAAAUUAAAAUUAAAAAUCGUAGGCAAAACGAAGCGCGUUGUGUGCUGGGAGGAAGCGAGGAUGACGCCAGGUCAGCAUGUCCCUCUGACGCCUUGGGCUACACGCAUAAUACAAUGGUCACCACAACGGGUUGCGACAGCGUAAGCUUGAGCUAAUCCUUAUAAAAGUGGCCCCAGUUCGGAUAGAGGGCUGAAACUCGACCUCUUGAAGUUGGAAUCGCUAGUAAUCGCGGGUCAGCUACACCGCGGUGAAUACGUUCUCAAGUCUUGUACUCACCGCCCGUCAAGUCAGGGAAGUUGGGAGUACCCAAAGGCUCACGUAGGUGGGACUAAGGUAAACUCAAUGACAAGGACUAAGUCGUAACAAGGCACGGGUAGCGGAAGCUGCUCGUG
rnacentral:rRNA from 1 species